UGAAGGUUAAAAUCCCAAGGUGAAAUUUACAUUGAUUGGAAGAUUCUUUGGAUAGAAUAUUCCUGCCAAAAGACAGCAGAAGGGGGACUAACUGAUGUAUGGAUUUUGACACCAGAUUUUACCCUGCACGAGCAGCCCAACUUGAGUAGAUCAGGAGUGGGAAAACCGAGCCCUGUCCUUGACCAAGGAAAGUUGGAUUUGUUGAGAGGACCUGAUCUCAAAUGAGAUCAUGCACAAGACGCACCUCGCAAAGGCCAUGACAGUAUAGUUUUCAGACCUGAUCAGCUGGUGACUGCUCUAUGAAGUGCUGUUCAACCUCCCCUAAGGGGGAGAUUCGAGAGGGUCUCCUGAUUGCUGAACACUACGCCAUGGUUGUUGUCAUCUCCAAAAAGUUUGCCCUGCCCAUAUCAACAGUGGAAGAGAACAUGAGAUGGGCCUUGAGGAGGCUUCGUGUCAUGUACUGCGGGGAGAAUAUAUAAACUGUUUAGUGCUGAGCAAUAUGUUCCUUUGUUCAUAGGUGUAAAUAUGUGUAAAGGGCUAUUCCAGGAAAAGAUAGGAUGAAGGAUUCCUUAAUGUUGUUAUUUUAUAAAUCCGGUA